rnacentral:rRNA from 1 species
CCUACGGGAGUCCGCAGUGGGGAAUAUUUCACAAUGGGCGAACGCCUGAUGCAGCAACGCCGCGUGAAGGAAGAAGGGUUUCUGCUCGUAAACUUCUAUCAACAGGGACGAAAGACAUGACGGUACCUGACUCCGAAGCCCCGGCUAACUACGUGCCAGCAGCCGCGGUAAUACGUAGGGGGCAAGCGUUAUCCGGACUUACUGGGUGUAAAGGGUUAGUAGGCGGCAUGGUAAGCCAGAUGUGAAAGCCUUGGGCUUAACCCGAGGAUUGCAUUUGGAACUAUCAAGCUAGAGUACAGGAGAGGAAAGCGGAAGUCCUAGUGUAGCGGUGAAAGGCGUAGAUAUUAGGAGGAACACCAGUGGCGAAGGCGGCCUGCUGGACGACAACUGACGGUGAGGCGCGAAAGCGUGGGGAGCAAACAGGAUUAGAUACCCUUGUAGUC